CCUACGGGGUGCAGCAGUGGGGAAUAUUGGACAAUGGGCGAAAGCCUGAUCCAGCCAUGCCGCGUGUGUGAAGAAGGCCUUCGGGUUGUAAAGCACUUUCAGUGGGGAAGAAAGCCUUGGGGCUAAUACCCUCGAGGAAGGACAUCACCCACAGAAGAAGCACCGGCUAACUCCGUGCCAGCAGCCGCGGUAAUACGGAGGGUGCGAGCGUUAAUCGGAAUUACUGGGCGUAAAGCGCGCGUAGGCGGCCUGAUAAGCCGGUUGUGAAAGCCCCGGGCUCAACCUGGGAACGGCAUCCGGAACUGUCAGGCUAGAGUGCAGGAGAGGAAGGUAGAAUUCCCGGUGUAGCGGUGAAAUGCGUAGAGAUCGGGAGGAAUACCAGUGGCGAAGGCGGCCUUCUGGACUGACACUGACGCUGAGGUGCGAAAGCGUGGGUAGCAAACAGGAUUAGAUACCCGAGUAGUC
rnacentral:rRNA from 1 species